CUUAUACUCCUUCCGUCCUAAAAUUCUUGUCUUAAAUUUGUUUACAUAUGAAUGUAUCUAGUCAAGUUUUAGUAUUUAGAUACAUUUAUUUUUAAAUAAAUCUAAGACAAGAAUUUUGGGACGGAUGAAGUAUUUA
rnacentral:pre_miRNA from 1 species